GGGUGAUUAGCUCAGCUGGGAGAGCACCUCCCUUACAAGAAGGGGGUCGGCGGUUCGAUCCCGUCAUCACCCACCA
rnacentral:tRNA from 1 species